UACGAAGGUCCCAAGCGUUGUUCGGAAUCACUGGGCGUAAAGGGAGCGUAGGCGGCGCGGUAAGUCAGAUGUGAAAUCCCGGGGCUCAACCCCGGAACUGCAUCCGAUACUGCCAUGCUAGAGGAUUGGAGAGGUAGCUGGAAUUCUUGGUGUAGCAGUGAAAUGCGUAGAGAUCAAGAGGAACACUCGUGGCGAAAGCGAGCUACUGGACAAUUCCUGACGCUGAGGCUCGAAGGCUAGGGUAGCGAAAGGG
rnacentral:rRNA from 1 species